rnacentral:lncRNA from 1 species
UAUAAUAAAAUAAUAUUAUUAAAAUAAUAUAAUAUUAAAAUAAAAAAAUUAAAAUUAAAAUGCCCUCCCCUCACCCAGUUUACACACUCUGCACAAACACACACACUGCAUUAUAUACACGCUGCAUUCAUUAUAUACACACACACAACACACAAACACACACUCUGCAUUCAUUGUAUACACACACAAACGCACACUCUGCAUUCAUUAUAUACACACACACAACACACAAACACACACUCUGCAUUCAUUAUAUACACACACAACCACACACUGCAUUCAUUAUAUACACACACAAACACACACUCUGCAUUCAUUCUAUACACAUACUGUAAAUAAAUAUUCAAUUAAUGUAAUUUUAUUGGGAUCUAAUUUUAUUUAGAAAUUUACCAGUAGCUGCUGCAUUUCCCACCCUAGGCUUAUACUCGAGUCAAUAAGUUUUCCCAGUUUUUUUGUGGUAAAAUUAGGGGCCUCGGCUUAUAUUCAGGUCGGCUUAUACUCGAGUAUAUACGGUACAUUUCUUGAAUACAUUUGAACAAUGUAUGAUCCUUAUAUACACCAUUACCCAUAGGAUCACUGUGGAUUUUAAAGGGUUUCUGUAGCUAAGGAUACCCUUUACUGAUCCUAAAUGGGGCUAUGUACUGGAGGCUUCCAAGAGAGAGAGAGGCUGAACUGAAAAUUAGAUGUUAAAUGAAAAUUUGCCUAGGUAAGCUAAACUAAAAAAUUAGUUAAGAUAAAUUAAUUUACCUAAUUCCAUGUCCACAGCCAAGAGGACAGGAAAAAAGACCGUAGACUCGGACAGAGGAUGUCCUAUUUAUAAUUUAUUUCCUGUCCUAAAUAGUCAAGUGGGCAGAGAUAAUCCUAUUGUGAUUCUGCUACGGAUUAGCCAGGAAAAUAAAAUAGUAUAAACUUUCAUUGUUACAAAUUCCUACUGUGAAAAAACCCAAUCCUUUAUCUGACAAUUUUUUAAAGAAAAAAGGCAUUUAUAUAAACUUACACUGAAUUCUACACAAGCACUUCUAAGAUAUGCCCCAUUUCCAUUAUCUGCCCAUUUACCAUGCUAUGACACCACACUCAUGUACCAUAAUGCCCAUCCUAGACACAUCUCCACCUCUUGACACUGGUUGCACAUACCUUGAUCAUUAUACUUUAUAAAACUCAACAUCUAAAUUCAAUUUUUACAAAUGGUAUAUUGAAUCAAGACAGGAAUUAUUGAUAGGUUUCAGUUAAAGGUGUCUAGUUAGCUAAGAUCUGACUUUUAGAAUCAAGGAUCCAGUGUAUCAAACAGUGCAAUCCCCUCCUAGUACCGUCUUAGGCAGCUGGUAGAAUGUAGAAUGGUUCCGGUAAGAAUGCUGCAAACUUUCGUGCACACUAUGGUUGUGGUAUGAAAUAAGAAGAUACUGAAAAUUGUGUAGAUACUUUGUAUACAAUGGCCAGUUUACUUUAGUAACUAUACAUAACCUUUUGCUUUGUGUUCAUAUGAUUUCUAAUUUAAGACACAUAGUGGACUAUGAAUCUAGAAUUUUCAUAAAUACACAUGUAGAAAUAACUAGCAAACGCUCUGUUUCAUUUAUUUAUUGGUAUUAUUCCUGUGAAACACUCUUUGUAAAGUGAUUACUUUGUACGUUAAUUGAUAAAGCUUCUCGAUUCACACUGUAACGGUAACUGUCGUUUCGAUAUGUCAAACAAUUCAAAUGAUUAUAGUUUAUUAAACUUACUAAUCUAAGUGAUG